rnacentral:ncRNA from 1 species
UAUUGACAUACAGCUUGUAUAUACCUUGUGAUAUGGACAGGGAGUUUCUAGCCGCUAACCGUAAAAGAGCGGACUACAAGCAAACAAUUA